GAUUCCGGAGAGGCAGCCUGAGAGACGGCUACCACGUCCAAGGACGGCAGCAGGCACGCAAAUUACCCAAUCCCAGCAACUGGGGGAGGUAGUGACGAAAUCUAACGAUGCGGGCGCCCUUUUUGGGGCCCCGCAAUCGGAAUGAGUACUUUCUAAACAACCUGUUGAGAACCUACUGAAGGGCAAGUCUGGUGCCAGCAGCCGCGGUAAUUCCAGCUUCAGCAGCAUCUAUUAAAGUUGCUGCGGUUAAAAGGCUCGCAGUUGAAUGUCAGUAUCGAGCGCAGGUCAGGUGGACGCUGGGGCGUGGGAACACAAGGCGCGGCACGGGCCCUUGCCUCGUGCUUGUGGCUACGGCCGUGUCUCUCACAUACCCCCGUCCGUUACAAGCCUCCUCGCUCGCGUACAUAUCGGAAUUGGUCAAACGGAGUGUGCGCAGCACCCGCCCGCUCUCGUCCUCAGGCCGCGUUCGCGCGCGUCGGUUGGCGUUGGCUGUGUGGGAACGCUCGCACGUUAAGCUCCUUCGGUUUCAUGGUCACCUUGAGUAAAUCAGAGUGCUCAAAGCAGUCGUAGGGGCCUUGCGCCCUGUGAACAGUCUUGACGGACUGACUUGGUUUUGCAUGGCAUGUCGGAAGACGACGUCGUGUGCUGGCUCAGAGAUAUGAUCAGUGGUGCAAGCCAGCCUCGACGUACUGAUUAACAGGGACGGUCGAGGGCAUUGGUAUUGCGAGGCGAGAGGUGAAAUUCUAUGACCCCCGCAAGACCUCCUGAAGCGAAAGCGUCUGCCAAGGACGUUUUCAUUAAUCAUGAACGAAAGUUAGAGGAUCGAAGGCGAUCAGAUACCGCCCUAGUUCUAACCCUAAACGAUGCCAACCAUCAAUCCGCGCGUAGCUCCCAUCUUAACGGGCUCGGCGGGCAGCUCCCCACUCACGGGAAACCAGAGUCUCUGGGUUCCGGGGGGAGUCUGGUUGCAAAGCUGAAACUUAAAGGAAUUGACGGAAAGGCACCACCAGGCGUGGAGCCUGCGGCUUAAUUUGACUCAACACGGGCCAUCUCACCAGGCCAGCACUCUUGUACGAUUGACAGAUUGAGAGCUCUUUCUCGAUUCAGUGGAUGGUGGUGCAUGGCCGUUCUUAGUUGGUGGAGUGAUCUGUCUGGUUAAUUCCGAUAACGAACGAGACUCUCCCCUGCUAACUAGUCGGCUGGAUCUUUAUCGGUGAGUUGUGUGCCGGGAAAACCUGGGUGCGGGCGCGUUGGGUUGCUGCGGUUCUACCAAGGCACUCUCGUGGUUCGCAUUUCGGGCCUCGGGCCACACACUCCAAGUCCGCCGCUUAUUGUAUAACUCUUCUUAGAGGGAUUCACGGUUCUGAAGCCGUCAGAGACUGAGAGCAAUAACAGGUCUGUGAUGCCCUUAGAUGCUCUGGGCCGCACGCGCGCUACAAUGCCGGGCACAGCAGGUGUUUCUCCUGCUCCGACAGGAGCAGGUAACCCUCUGAAAGCCAGUGUUUUUGUCGAGUCUGACUCGAAAGGCGUGCUUGGGCCUGGGGCUUGCAAUUCUUUCCCACCAACGAGGAAUGCCUAGUAGCGGCGGGUCACUGAGCCCGCUGUGACUCAGUCCCUGCCCUUUGUACACACCGCCCGUCGCUACUACCGAUUGGGUGUACCAGUGAGAGCCUUGGACUGGCGUCCGUUGCCUUCGGGCAAGCGGGUCCGACGGAAAGAGGUCCGAACUGGUGCACUUAGAGGAAGUAAAAGUCGUAACAAG
rnacentral:rRNA from 1 species